rnacentral:lncRNA from 1 species
GUUUACCUAAGCAAGCCUGGGCAAUGGCGGGCGCCCCUCCCCCAGCCUGGCUGCCGCCUUGCAGUUUGAUCUCAGACUGCUGUGCCAGCAAUCAGCAAGACUCCAUGGGCGUCGUAGGACCCUCUGAGCCAGGAAGUUGCGCUGUACCUGAGAGCACCGAGAUAUAACAUAAGAAGCCAUCUUGGAAUUAAAGUUGUUGAAUGGAAAUGUGGCUUCAGCCUGGCUGUGUAUCACAUCCUUCUGGUUAGGGGCAUUGCUGCAGGAAUCUGUUUAUUCUCAAUUCAAGCCAAUAUGUACUGAUUGCUCUGACCUCCUCUCGUAAACAGGCAUUCUACUGGAACGUGUAAGAUAAUUUUUGCCAUCUGUCAUUUUCUUCUUCUUGAGAAAGGAGGAGAAUUACUGAGAAACAAGAAAAUGACUUUCUUGCAGUUGGGUUAUGGCCAUGUGAAUAAUUCUUGUCAAUGAGAAUGUGAGUGAAACUGAUAUGUAAUUGCUGGUCUGAGGCACUUAAGAAAUAAAGUAAGUUUUCUGUGCUUUCCUAACCUCAUGGCUGGAA